UACGUAGGGGGCAAGCGUUGUCCGGAAUCAUUGGGCGUAAAGGGCGCGUAGGCGGCCACCGCAAGUCGACUGUGAAAUCUCCGGGCUUAACUCGGAAAGGUCAGCCGAUACUGCGGGGCUAGAGUGCAGAAGGGGCAACUGGAAUUCUCGGUGUAGCGGUGAAAUGCGUAGAUAUCGAGAGGAACACCUGCGGCGAAGGCGGGUUGCUGGGCUGACACUGACGCUGAUUGUGCGAAAGCUAGGGGAGCGAACGGG
rnacentral:rRNA from 1 species